rnacentral:rRNA from 1 species
AGGGACAAUCGGUGUUGGUCGAGGGAUGACCAGCACACUGGAAUGAAACACGCCCAAUUCUUACGGGAGGCAGCAGUGGGGAAUAUUGGACAAUGGGGGGCAACCCUGAUCCCAGGGACGCCCGCGUUGUGUGAAGAAGGCCCUGCGGGUUGUUAAAGCACUUUUUAGUGGGGAUGAAAAGCUCAGGGUUAAUACCCUUGAGUCUUGACCUAACCCAAAGAAAAAGCACCGGCUAACUCUGUGCCAGCAGCCGCGGUAAUACAGAGGGUGCGAGCGUUAAUCGGAAUUACUGGGCGUAAAGCGUGCGUAGACGGUUCUGUAAGUCGGAUGUGAAAUCCCCGGGCUCAACCUGGGAAUUGCAUUCGAGACUGCAAAGCUAGGGUGCGGAAGAGGGAAGCGGAAUUUCCGGUGUAGCGGUGAAAUGCGUAGAUAUCGGAAGGAACAUCAGUGGCGAAAGCGGCUUCCUGGUCCAGCACCGACGUUCAGGCACGAAAGCGUGGGGAGCAAACAGGAUUAGAUACCCUGGUAGUCCACGCCAUAAACGAUGAGAACUAGACGUUGAGAGGGUAAGCCUCCCAGUGUCGCAGCUAACGCGUCUAAGUUCUCCGCCUGGGAGUACCGCCGCAGGGUUGAAACUCAAGGCAUUGACGGGACCCGCACAAGCGGUGAGCAUGUGGUUUAAUUCGAUGCAACGCGAAGCACCUUACCUGGCCUUGACAUCCAUGGAAUCUUGCAGAGAUGCGGGAGUGCCUUCGGGAACCGUGAGACAGGUGCUGCAUGGCUGUCGUCAGCUCGUGUCGUGAGAUGUUGGGUUAAGUCCCGCAACGAGCGCAACCCUUGUCCUUAGUUGCCAUCAUUAAGUUGGGAACUCUAAGGAGACCGCCGGUGACAAACCGGAGGAAGGUGGGGAUGACGUCAAGUCAUCAUGGCCUUUAUGGCCAGGGCUACACACGUGCUACAAUGGCAGGUACAGAGGGCAGCGAACUCGCGAGAGGAAGCCAAUCCCAGAAAGCCUGUCGUAGUCCGGAUCGGAGUCUGCAACUCGACUCCGUGAAGUCGGAAUCGCUAGUAAUCGCAGAUCAGCAUUGCUGCGGUGAAUACGUUCCCGGGUCUUGUACACACCGCCUGUCACACCAUGGGAGUUGACUGCACCAGAAGCAGGUAGCCUAACCGCAAGGAUGGCGCCUACCACGGUGUG